UCGAACGGUGAUGAGGAGCUUGCUUCUCUGAUCAGUGGCGAACGGGUGAGUAACACGUGAGUAACCUGCCCCCGACUCUGGGAUAAGCACUGGAAACGGUGUCUAAUACCGGAUACGAGCUUCAGCCGCAUGGCUAGGAGUUGGAAAGAAUUUCGGUUGGGGAUGGACUCGCGGCCUAUCAGCUAGUUGGUGAGGUAAUGGCUCACCAAGGCGACGACGGGUAGCCGGCCUGAGAGGGUGACCGGCCACACUGGGACUGAGACACGGCCCAGACUCCUACGGGAGGCAGCAGUGGGGAAUAUUGCACAAUGGGCGCAAGCCUGAUGCAGCAACGCCGCGUGAGGGACGACGGCCUUCGGGUUGUAAACCUCUUUUAGUAGGGAAGAAGCGAAAGUGACGGUACCUGCAGAAAAAGCACCGGCUAACUACGUGCCAGCAGCCGCGGUAAUACGUAGGGUGCAAGCGUUGUCCGGAAUUAUUGGGCGUAAAGAGCUCGUAGGCGGUUUGUCGCGUCUGCUGUGAAAACCCGAGGCUCAACCUCGGGCCUGCAGUGGGUACGGGCAGACUAGAGUGCGGUAGGGGAGAUUGGAAUUCCUGGUGUAGCGGUGGAAUGCGCAGAUAUCAGGAGGAACACCAAUGGCGAAGGCAGAUCUCUGGGCCGUAACUGACGCUGAGGAGCGAAAGCAUGGGGAGCGAACAGGAUUAGAUACCCUGGUAGUCCAUGCCGUAAACGUUGGGAACUAGAUGUGGGGACCAUUCCACGGUCUCCGUGUCGCAGCUAACGCAUUAAGUUCCCCGCCUGGGGAGUACGGCCGCAAGGCUAAAACUCAAAGGAAUUGACGGGGGCCCGCACAAGCGGCGGAGCAUGCGGAUUAAUUCGAUGCAACGCGAAGAACCUUACCAAGGCUUGACAUAUAGAGGAAACGGCUGGAAACAGUCGCCCCGCAAGUUCUCUAUACAGGUGGUGCAUGGUGGUCGUCAGCUCGCGUCGUGAGAUGUUGGGUUAAGUCCCGCACCGAGCCCAACCCUCCUCCUAUGUUGCCAGCACGUAAUGGUGGGAACUCAUGGGAGCCUCCCGGGGUCAACUCGGAGGAAGGUGGG
rnacentral:rRNA from 1 species